UUUUAAUGGCCGCAGUAUAUUAACUGUGCAAAGGUAGCAUAAUCAUUAGUCUUUUAAUUGAAGGCUGGUAUGAAUGGUUGAACGAAAUAUUGACUGUUUCAGUUAAAUUUAUAAUAGAAUUUUAUUUUUUAGUUAAAAAGCUAAAAUUUUUUUAAAAGACGAGAAGACCCUAUAAAUCUUUAUAUUUAAAUUAUAUUAUUUUUUUAGAUUUAUUUUAAUAUUAUAGUAAUAGUAUUUUAUUGGGGUGAUAUUAAAAUUUAAUUAACUUUUUAAUUUUAAAUUACAUUAAUUUAUGAAAUUUUGAUCCAUUAUUAUUGAUUAAUAAUUUAAGUUACUUUAGGGAUAACAGCGUAAUUUUUUUGGAGAGUUCUUAUUGAUAAAAAAGAUU
rnacentral:rRNA from 1 species